rnacentral:siRNA from 1 species
UGAGAUUAUUCAGGAAUACAC